UGGGGUAUAGCCAAGCGGUAAGGCACAGGACUUUGACUCCUGCAUUCGUGGGUUCAAAUACCGCUGCCCCAACCA
rnacentral:tRNA from 1 species